UGAGUGGCGGACGGGUGAGUAACGCGUGGGCAACCUGCCCUGUACAGGGGGACAACACUUAGAAAUAGGUGCUAAUACCGCAUAACGGGGGGAGCCGCAUGGCACCCCCCUGAAAACUCCGGUGGUACAGGAUGGGCCCGCGUAUGAUUAGCUGGUUGGCAGGGUAACGGCCUACCAAGGCGACGAUCAGUAGCCGGCCUGAGAGGGCGGACGGCCACACUGGGACUGAGACACGGCCCAGACUCCUACGGGAGGCAGCAG
rnacentral:rRNA from 1 species